GUGCCAGCAGCCGCGGUAAUACGUAGGGGGCAAGCGUUGUCCGGAUUUAUUGGGCGUAAAGAGCGUGUAGGCGGCCAGGUAGGUCUGCUGUGAAAACUCGAGGCUCAACCUCGAGAUGUCGGCGGAAACCAUCUGGCUAGAGUCCGGAAGAGGAAAGUGGAAUUCCCGGUGUAGCGGUGAAAUGCGCAGAUAUCGGGAAGAACACCCGUGGCGAAGGCGGCUUUCUGGGACGGUACUGACGCUGAGACGCGAAAGCGUGGGGAGCGAACAGGAUUAGAUACCCUGGUAGUCCACGCCGUAAACGAUGGGAACUAGGUGUGGGCGGUGUCGACUCCGUCCGUGCCGAAGCUAACGCAUUAAGUUCCCCGCCUGGGGAGUACGGCCGCAAGGCUAAA
rnacentral:rRNA from 1 species